GACGGGGCCCGCACAAGCGGUGAGCAUGUGUUUAAUUCGACGCAACGCGAAGAACCUUACCAGGGCUUGACAUCCCCUGACCGCGUAUGAAAGUACGUUUUCACCCUCGGGUGACAGGGAGACAGGUGGUGCAUGGUUGUCGUCAGCUCGUGUCGUGAGAUGUUGGGUUAAGUCCCGCAACGAGCGCAACCCCUACGUUUAGUUGUUAACAGGUGAAGCUGAGCACUCUAGACGAACCGCCGUUGACAAAACGGAGGAAGGUGGGAUGACGUCAAAUCAUCAUGCCCCUUAUGUUCUGGGCUACACACGUGCUACAAUGGCCGGUACAGACGGAGGCGAAGCCGCGAGGCGGAGCAAAUCCGAAAAAGCCGGUCUCAGUUCGGAUUGCAGGCUGCAAUUCGCCUGCAUGAAGUCGGAAUCGCUAGUAAUCGCAGGUCAGCAUACUGCGGUGAAUACGUUCCCGGGCCUU
rnacentral:rRNA from 1 species